CGCGGUUGCCUUCUCGUGACGCAACAGGUUCAAUGGUGGUAUAAAAACAGCUGCAGUUUUUUUUUCUUCUCACCGCUUUCUGCUAGCUCGUCUAGAGGUUCAUUGUAUGUGUUAUCACAGAGGCAUCAACCCAAAGGAUUUGACAUCGUUUUUCCUGAUUUAACUUUUCGUUAUUUUAUUCACGAAUUGGUAGUAUGUUUUUUGGAUACAUCGUUUUUGAACGUUUUUCUAUGGAAGAACAAGGCAACCAAAUCAUAAUUGGAAGUAAUUUUGACCAGAGGGACUCCUUUAGAGAAUCCUGAUCUCUGCCGUCACCGUCCUGGGUCACUUGCGUAAAGAAUUGGGUAGAGUUCCCUUUGUCUUCACCUCAUCCGUCUUCUUAAAUUUUCACAUUCCAUUUAUCUGGAUAAAAUGGUUGGAUUCAGACCUGCUGACGUGCCCCCAACCGCUGCUGUGAAGUUUAUCGGUGCUGGAACAGCGGCCUGCAUUGCUGACCUAUUCACCUUUCCCCUGGACACAGCCAAAGUCCGGCUACAGAUCCAGGGAGAGGAGAAAGGUGCAGCAGCUAGUCAUGGCACAGCAGUGAGGUAUCGGGGUGUGUUUGGUACCAUCACCACCAUGGUGCGUACGGAGGGGGCCAGGAGCCUCUACAGCGGGCUGGUGGCAGGGCUCCAGAGGCAGAUGAGCUUUGCCUCCAUCCGUAUCGGCCUCUAUGACUCUGUCAAGUCAUUCUACACCAAAGGCUCAGACCAUGUAGGGAUUGGCAGUCGCCUGCUGGCGGGCUGUACAACUGGAGCCAUGGCAGUCGCAUUAGCCCAACCCACAGAUGUGGUGAAAGUCCGCUUCCAGGCACAGGCUAGUUCCUCUGGGCCAAACCGACGUUACCAUGGUACCAUGCAGGCCUACAAGACCAUCGCCAAGGAAGAGGGCAUGCGUGGUCUGUGGAGAGGUACUGGCCCAAACAUUGCCCGCAAUGCAAUCGUGAACUGCACUGAGCUGGUUACAUAUGACCUCAUCAAGGACGCGCUUCUUAAAAACACAUCCCUGACUGAUGACCUCCCCUGCCACUUCACAUCUGCAUUUGGUGCAGGAUUCUGCACCACUGUGAUUGCCUCUCCCGUGGAUGUGGUGAAGACGAGAUAUAUGAACUCUGCCCUCGGCCAGUACAGCAGCGCCCUCAACUGUGCUCAUGCCAUGGUGACCAAGGAGGGACCUCUUGCCUUCUACAAAGGUUAGAUCAACAACAGGAUCUGUGAGUAACCAUGGAGGAACAUCCCCUAUCACCACAGAAGGGCCAACCUCCAACUCCCUCAAACCACUCUCAUCACCAAGCUUUCCAACUGUCCAACCAAAACCACUGCCUUGUCUACUAGUAUAUUCCCAAAAGUCAUCUAGAACAGUAGCAGUGGGAUGCUCAACCUGAAUAAGUAGCUUCAUUGACGAUCAUCUUCAACAGUAUCCCUUUUCUUAUACACAUUAAGGACUUAUCUGAGCUCAGGGUGGGUGACGUGGUGCGGAUGAAGCCACUACCAGGGGACCGGACAGAAAGUUGAAAGCAGAAAGUUGCACCACGCUCCUACUUCGUCUAAAUGAAUGGGUCACUGUACCGCCGUAACAGGGUUGACCUUUGAGUUGCUGAGCCAGCACCUACUCAGAACCCUGAUUGUCAUAGGGGUCACAUAACAAAAGGACAGAAUCCUAGCAUGCCACCUGGGGCCUGAGGUACUGGGCGAAGAGCCAGGGGAUCAUAUGGCGGCUGCUCCAUCGCCCAUCAACACUCCCCUCAGACAGUCAGGUGACACGCCUGUGCAUGAUCCCGCAGUCCUCACAGAAAAGCCCCGUCUUUUCACGCUGCAGGCUUCUUUCCCUGCCACCUAAAAUACUUAUCUGUAGGUUUCCUAUUAUGGAUUGUUGACAGACAGAGAUUUAUAAAUGGGAAAAGUGAAGAGAAUCAAAAUGUUGUUUAUUUUAUACCUGAAAAAAAACUAAACGGUUCAUGUUGGAUAUUAUUAGUAGGUUUGUUUUACUAGCGAAUUGACAGUUCUUGUCUUAUUUUAUAAAAUGGAAGAUGUUAUGGGUGUAAGAUGGCACGUUGAUCCCAUCUUUUGGUAAAUGUUAAUUACUGCAACACCAGUGUUUUUACCGGUGUGCUUGACAUACCCAGAUGCAUUGUUUUUACCGUUGUAUUUGAUAUACCAGGAUGCAUUGCAAUGUGCAAAGACUGGUUACUCACAUCAAUGACUCUGUCUCAUCAUUUAACUUCCAAACCAUAAUGUUCUCUUCUGGGAUCAGGUUCUUGAUGGAAGCCGUGACUAUUGCU